AACGAACGCUGGCGGCAGGCUUAACACAUGCAAGUCGAGCGCCCCGCCAGGGGAGCGGCAGACGGGUGAGUAACGCGUGGGAAGCUACCCUUCACUACGGAACAAGCCCGGGAAACUGGAGCUAAUACCGUAUACGUCCUUCGGGAGAAAGAUUUAUCGGUGAUGGGUGAGCCCGCGUUGGAUUAGCUAGUUGGUGGGGUAAUGGCCUACCAAGGCGACGAUCCAUAGCUGGUCUGAGAGGAUGAUCAGCCACAUUGGGACUGAGACACGGCCCAAACUCCUACGGGAGGCAGCAGUGGGGAAUAUUGGACAAUGGGCGAAAGCCUGAUCCAGCCAUGCCGCGUGAGUGAUGAAGGCCCUAGGGCUGUAAAGCUCUUUCACCGGUGAAGAUAAUGACGGUAACCGGAGAAGAAGCCCCGGCUAACUUCGUGCCAGCAGCCGCAGUAA
rnacentral:rRNA from 1 species